rnacentral:ncRNA from 1 species
UCGGAUGAGGGACGCCCUAGACACCGCAAGGGGCCGAAGAAGCAAAGCGUAAGGUAACAUCUUCCUUUCGUGGAAACUACAGGCAAAAAGGAAGGCGACCUGACGAAUCUUUGGAGAGUGUGCAAAGAGAGCACCACCUACGAGGCUAGAACCAACUGGUAAAAGGACAGAGAA